rnacentral:rRNA from 1 species
ACACGUGUAUCCGAAGGACUCUCGGCAACGGAUAUCUCGGCUCUUGCAUCGAUGAAGAACGUAGCGAAAUGCGAUACUUGGUGUGAAUUGCAGAAUCCCGUGAACCAUCGAGUCUUUGAACGCAAGUUGCGCCCGAAGCCAUUAGGCUGAGGGCACGCCUGCCUGGGU